CUCUUCGCAAGGGAUCU
rnacentral:rRNA from 1 species